ACUCCUACGGGAGGCAGCAGUGGGGAAUAUUGCACAAUGGACGCAAGUCUGAUGCAGCAACGCCGCGUGAGGGACGAAGGCCUUCGGGUUGUAAACCUCUUUUAGCAGGGAAGAAGCGAAAGUGACGGUACCUGCAGAAAAAGCACCGGCUAACUACGUGCCAGCAGCCGCGGUAAUACGUAGGGUGCAAGCGUUGUCCGGAAUUAUUGGGCGUAAAGAGCUCGUAGGCGGUUUGUCGCGUCUGCUGUGAAAUUUCGAGGCUCAACCUCGAACUUGCAGUGGGUACGGGCAGGCUAGAGUGCAGUAGGGGAGAUGGGAAUUCCUGGUGUAGCGGUGGAAUGCGCAGAUAUCAGGAGGAACACCAAUGGCGAAGGCACAUCUCUGGGCUGUAACUGACGCUGAGGAGCGAAAGCGUGGGGAGCGAACAGGAUUAGAUACCCCAGUAGUCC
rnacentral:rRNA from 1 species